rnacentral:tRNA from 1 species
UAUUGAUGAGUCGCAGCGGAGUGUGACGAUUGACCUGGAAGGUCAAUCGGCCGCGCGUCGAGGUGUUGCCGUUGCUUUGGCUCGACGCUUCAACGA